rnacentral:lncRNA from 1 species
UCGAUCUACUUGCACCAAUUAUCUGAGAGAACAAACUCUCUACAACACCUUAUUGUGUGAGAAACAAGGCUCUGACAUCCUUUAUAUGAUCUUCCUCUAACUUCUUUGGUUUUGCAGGUGUUAGUUGAUGUCCAACAACAAAGCGAAAAUAACCAUUCUCACCUAUAUCCCACAACCCUUGUGAUUGUAGCAACAUUCGCGUUUUUAUCUUCCAUACAUCAUAAUUUCUACCAAAAAAUAUGGGAACUAUUGUUUGCGCCAUAUUUGCGCCAACAUCUGAAGCCGUCAAUUCAAAAUUCUUCUUUUUCAUGAACGUAAAUUCACUACUUCGCUAACACCCGUCUUUGAAUCAUGUUCUGAUACCAGUUGUUAGAAAUAAAUUGAAGGUAAG